GCACUGAUGAAGAGUCCUGCAAUAGGACGAAACGACUGUCCAGUGC
rnacentral:hammerhead_ribozyme from 1 species